rnacentral:rRNA from 1 species
GACGUAGGGCGCGAGCGUUGUCCGGAUUUAUUGGGCGUAAAGAGCUCGUAGGCGGUCUGUCGCGUCUGCUGAUGAAAACCUAGGGCUUAACUCUGGGCGUGCAGUGGGUACGGGCAGGCUAGAGUGCGGUAGGGGAGACUGGAAUUCCUGGUGUAGCGGUGAAAUGCGUAGAGAUCGGAAAGAACACCAACGGCGAAAAGCACUCUGCUGGGCCGACACUGACACUGAGAGACGAAAGCUAGGGGAGCGAAUGGG